UAAAUGCACUCCCACUUGAAGCAGCAAGUC
rnacentral:piRNA from 1 species